CUCGGCCCGCCUAAUCCCUUACCCUCCAAACUCAUCUCUUUUUUCCCAACCCCUUACCCCCAGCACCAACCCGAAGCCACUAUCGAUCUCAACUUCUUCUUGGAUAUCGAUUUACAAGCAAAAACUUCCCCACUAGAUUUAUCUGUACAUAAAGAUGUAACCCAAAAUUUAUCACGACCUAGUUCACGCCGGAGCUCAUAGAACUGCUCAAUAUGGCCAUGGCUGAAGGCCAGCAACAUGUGUGGAUGCUAAGGUGAAUUUGGGCUGCUGUUUUUCCCCGGAUUCGUUGGCAGUGACAGUGGAAGAUGAAGCAGCUGGUAGUCAAGAAAAGGUGUGGCACGUGGAAGUGGAUAUUUUGGCUCAGGACGAUGGAAAUUUCGGUGACAUCUACACGCGGUGCAUUUCAGCGAAGUAGGCUCAGAUGGAUUCGCAUUAGGGGAUGAGACAUUCUUUGUAGUUCACCAACAUUGGAUGAUGAUGGUCUGGAUCCAAUUUGGCAUCUCGUUGUGAUCUCCUGGUUUCCAGUGAGAUGAACUCUAAUUCCGAUUGGUCUUCUUAUUGAAACUUUCAUUCUAUAAAAAAUGAGAUGUACUCUUAACUCCAUUCUUGGGAAUUGUAUUUCAGUUUUUCUUGAUGAAUUUAUAAUUUUUAUUAUGAGGUUGAAG
rnacentral:lncRNA from 1 species